rnacentral:rRNA from 7 species
GUCGAACGGUGUCUUCGGACACAGUGGCGGACGGGUGAGUAACGCGUGAGAAUCUGGCUUUAGGUCUGGGACAACCACUGGAAACGGUGGCUAAUACCGGAUGUGCCCGUAAUUGGGUGAAAGGUUAACUGCCUGAAGAUGAGCUCGCGUCUGAUUAGCUAGUUGGAAGUGUAAUGGACUCCCAAGGCGACGAUCAGUAGCUGGUCUGAGAGGACGAUCAGCCACACUGGGACUGAGACACGGCCCAGACUCCUACGGGAGGCAGCAGUGGGGAAUUUUCCGCAAUGGGCGAAAGCCUGACGGAGCAAUACCGCGUGAGGGAGGAAGGCUCUUGGGUCGUAAACCUCUUUUCUCAGGGAAGAACACAAUGACGGUACCUGAGGAAUAAGCAUCGGCUAACUCCGUGCCAGCAGCCGCGGUAAUACGGAGGAUGCAAGCGUUAUCCGGAAUGAUUGGGCGUAAAGCGUCCGCAGGUGGCAAUGUAAGUCUGCUGUUAAAGAGUCUAGCUCAACUAGAUACAAGCAGUGGAAACUACAUAGCUAGAGUACGUUCGGGGCAGAGGGAAUUCCUGGUGUAGCGGUGAAAUGCGUAGAGAUCAGGAAGAACACCAGUGGCGAAGGCGCUCUGCUAGGCCGUAACUGACACUGAGGGACGAAAGCUAGGGGAGCGAAUGGGAUUAGAUACCCCAGUAGUCCUAGCCGUAAACGAUGGAUACUAGGCGUG